AAAUUGCUCUAUAUAUAUAUAUAUAUUUUUUUUUUCUAAAAUUUUCUCAUAAAAUAACUUUUUGAGAAAAUAGUAAUAUUUUUUACAAACUUAUACUUUAAAAACCAUAAAAAUAAAAAUUCUCCUAUUAAAAAAACAUAUAUAAUUAUCUAAAAAUUAAAAGAAAUAUUUAAAAAUUGAUAUGAUAUUUAUUCAACAAUAAUAAACGGUAUUGCUUUAUUGAUGAAACAAAUUACACAAUUUGGUAUUUAUUAACAAUUUUGUGUAUUUAUAAAGAUGUUUCUUUUCUUUUACACAUUUUUUUUUAUUUAUAAACAUAUAUUUUUUUUUGUAUUUAUUUAUUUACAAAGAGUUUUUAAUUUUUACACAAUUUGAUUUUUAUUUAUAAAUAGUUUUUUUUAUUAAAUAUUUUAAUUAGUAAAUUUAUUGUCAUAAACUUAUUUGUUUAUUUAAAAUGAUUUGUAUAUUUAACAAUGGAAUUUUUACACUAAGUGACUUUUUUUACCAAUAUUUAACAUUUAUAUUUGCUUUCUCUUUUUUUUACAUUUUUACAUUUUAAAAUUUUCUCUAAUACUAUUAUAAAGUUUACUAAUUACAAUUAUACGAAAAGUGUUAUUUUUCUUUCUUCUUCCUCUAUUCACAUAUAUUUAUUUAGAGUGGUAGCCAUCUCUAUCCUUCCAUCUCACUUUCAGCCCCUCUUGUCUCCAUUCCUCCCGUCUCCAUUCCUCCCAUCUACAUCCCUUCUUGCCAUGCAAAACUUCUUCUUAACCUUCCUAUGGCGCAGUCUAAGGAGAAAGAAACACUCUCUGAGUUUCUUCAUCUCUUGGUCAAAUCAUCUCCAUCUCUUUCAAACUUCUUUUUGCUACUAUUGAUAUAGUUUCAAGCUCUGAUUUGUGGGUGAUAUAAGACAUCUGAUGUUGUUGAUAAGUUGAAGCUUCCAAAGAAAAAUAUUGUCAAGGUUUAUAAUUUGUUUUUUUUUUAUUUGUAUUGUUUGAAAUGUUCUCUGGCUAUAGUUCAUUCAUUUGAAAAAAAUAUAUAUAUUUUAUAGUAGCAAGUUGUUUUAUAGUUUGUUUAAUGUUGUUUUGAUGCUGUUUUACUUGCUACAAGACUUGAUUUUUAGUGAUGAUAAACUUCAAAAUUGAUCAGAAUGAAGUUAGUGGCAUACAUCAAAAGUGUACAAGAAAAUGUUCCAAAGUCUUUCAAGAAGGUUGGAGUUACUGUGCAUGAAUUAACGAUUGAGAAGGAAGUGUGUUUCGUUUUGGUUGUAUAUGCUGAAGAGCGACAUUUUUUUUUUUAAGAAACUUUACUUUUAUAUAUUUUUUUUAAAUUUUCUCUAGUUAACUUUAUAUAUAUCUUGUACGAGAUAUUGAAUAUUAUAAUUUCUUUUUAAUUGUUUAUAUCUUUUACUACAUUAAGAAACAACAAUUAUUAUAUUUUUAAUUUAUACAUCAA